CUUGCAAAGGAACAUCAAGUAUAUAAACCCCAAGUCUUUGCACUUUCAAGCACACAUCACUAUCAAACAUUCUAAAAUUCUCUUCACACACACAUACCAACACAACAAAGAAUAGAGGAGUACGAGGAUGGAGGAUGGAGGAUGGAGAUUUGCACACAAUUGUAGAGUCAAGUCCAACGAUACAACAACACUUUUUCACACCAAAAGAAAGGGUUAUCUCCGCAAGUUAACGUCGGAGCAAGAAAUUCAAGUUGAGGAAAAUUAAACGGACGAGGUUGAGCAGCGAAGUGGUGGAGGAAGUGCUAUUGAGACAAUACAUUUUAUUCGGUCAGAUUAGGACUCUCGGAGGUUCAUGUCUCCGUACAUGGAACCGCGUUCUUUUCCUUCCGCUAUGCAUCUUAAAAGACUCAAUUCUAUUUUGUUGAAAACUCUGGUAUUUUGAAAACUUUUACAAAUAAUUACUCGAGUUUUCAUAAACGAGUAUCUUUUCCUCUAUGUAUCAGCACUUGAUUAGUCAUGUCUCCAACCAAUGUUUGAUUUUAUUCUCCCUUA